AGAUUGAACGCUGGCGGCAUGCCUUACACAUGCAAGUCGAACGGCAGCACGGGAGCAAUCCUGGUGGCGAGUGGCGAACGGGUGAGUAAUAUAUCGGAACGUGCCCAGUCGUGGGGGAUAACGUAGAGAAAUUUACGCUAAUACCGCAUACGAUCCAAGGAUGAAAGCGGGGGACCUAAGGCCUCGCGC
rnacentral:rRNA from 1 species